rnacentral:lncRNA from 1 species
AAUCCGUACCUAAAUCCUCCGCAAGAUUCGUCUGCUCCGAUGACAAAUCCUCCUCCACACCGCAAUCCAUGAAAGCUUUCUCCGCCGCCGUUGCCCUCUCUUCCAUCCUCCUCUCUGCUCCGAUGCCAGCUGUCGCUGAUAUCUCAGGUUUGACUCCUUGCAAGGACUCAAAACAGUUCGCUAAGAGAGAGAAGCAACAGAUCAAGAAGCUUGAAUCAUCUCUUAAGCUUUACGCUCCUGAAUCUGCUCCUGCUCUUGCUCUUAAUGCUCAGAUCGAGAAAACGAAACGCAGGUUCGUCUUCGAUUUCGAUUUCUUUCGUUAAAACAGAGCUUUUUUUUUUCUCUGUUCUUGAUUCUUGAAUCUUGAUUUUAAUGAAUUACUUGUUAGGUUCAUUGCUAUAGUAUGAUUUUUAUGAGUUAGUGAGUUUCGAAGUCGAUUGAUUUGGAAUUGUAUGUGCCUAUGAUUUGUGGAGAUUUUAUUGAUAUUGAAGAAAUGUUUGUUAGGUUCGACAACUACGGGAAGUACGGCUUGCUAUGCGGGUCAGAUGGUUUACCGCACUUGAUUGUGAAUGGAGACCAGCGGCAUUGGGGAGAGUUCAUUACUCCAGGGAUUCUUUUCCUCUACAUUGCUGGAUGGAUCGGGUGGGUUGGAAGAAGCUACUUAAUAGCUAUUAGUGGUGAGAAGAAACCCGCGAUGAAAGAGAUCAUCAUCGAUGUUCCUUUGGCUAGUCGGAUCAUCUUCCGUGGUUUCAUUUGGCCCGUUGCUGCCUACAGAGAGUUUCUCAAUGGUGAUCUCAUUGCUAAGGAUGUUUAAAAAACUUGCUUUAUGCUUUUGUUACUCUCUCUAAUCUCUUUGUUUUCCAUUGUACCUAUUGAAAAACAAUGCAUUGUCGAAAACUUUUAAAAUUUGGAUUGCGCAAUUUAGAAAGAAUCAUGGCUAAAAAGGUGAUUGUGAUCAUUUUGCGGUGUAGUGAUUGCUCUGUGAAGCUCAAUUGCUUAAAGGGAAUUUCAUGAUAUAAGGCAAGAGUCUUAUGUUUAAGAGCAUAACUAAAUUUAGGGAAAAUCCCAGAAAUAACCUCCAAAUUAAAACAUUUUCCCAACUAAAACCUCAAACUUUUUCCCCUAAAUUUAAUUAGUGAUAAUAUUUUACCACUCUUGCAUUUGCGUGAAUGCAGGAGAUAACUUAAACUAUAAAAUACUAAUUACUUGUUCUGUUUAAGCUCACUGUAAAUUUCUUACCACAAUUAAAUUCUCCGGUAAUUUUUCUCCCCCUUCAUUUCCGCUAUCUUUCAAAGUUUUCAAUACAGAAUUUACUAGUUUUCGUUACAUAAAUUUCAUUUAACCAAUAUUCAUAAGUACAUCUCCACCUCCGGAUUUUCGGACUUGACAAGAGGCCGUAAUCAUAUUAGUACAUGAGUGUCUAACACUCACGGAUCAAAAGAUGUGAAUGUGAAUGUGAAUUUGAAUAGUACAUGAUGUGCGAGCGAUCAGGGAUAAUAUCGAAUGGCAAAUAUUUGCAAGGAAAAAAAAAAGAGAAAUGGGCCAUAAGCUUGGGUAAUAAAAGGCCAGGCCCAUAAAUACCUGAAAAUACGAGAAAUGAAAGUAAAAAACAUACAAUAUCAGUUCACGUACUCAGUACUCACUAGUCACUAUUCACUACAAUGAUUAAGAAGAUAAUGCUAAGUGCUAACUGCUAAGCUAGACUUAGUCACUUAGCCAAUAUCAGAAACGACCAUUACGCAAUAAUAUGCGCACAGAGUCACACACAGACCAUGACUUACAUGACCAUAAUUGUAUAUAGAUAUAGAUAAAUAACAUAUCUCACAAAUUUACAUUAGGUCAAUAACAAAGUUCCCUCCUCGGUUGGAAAUGAUCAAGAGAACCCUCGUGGAUCAUGGUCCAAAGUCCUACACAUACACCAAAUCCCAAAUACCCCGAAAUACAAAAUUACAAAUACUCAUAUAUAUAUAUAUAUAUAGAGAGAGAGAGAGAGAGAGAGAGAGAGAUUUAAUUUAUAAUAUAAAUAUAUAUAUAUAUAGUAUUUAUAUGUAUCUAUAUCAUGUUAAUAAUUUCACUCUGUAGUCAAAACAGAGCAUUUUCAUUUCCUACCCCUAAUUUAAAUAUAAUAAUCCCGAAAUUUCCCAAAAAAGGAAGAGGAAAUUUGCAGUAGUCAAAAGAGAGCAUUGACUAGCAAGACCACAUAGACUCUCCCAAACUGGCUUCAUCCACAAUGUCCAUAUGGCUAAACAUGCCCUUGUUGUCCUGUGGACUCACUUGCUUCGAAGACGGUGAACCGCUGCUACUCGGACUGUCCGGGCAUAGUCCGUGGCCUGGAAAAUUAGUAGAGUGGCGUACACGUAGGUGCACCACCUCAGCUUGAGCUAGAGCUAGCUGAGCUUGCAACACGUCGAUUUGUUGCUGGAGGGACGAAAUUGCUCCUACGCAACCGUAAACCGGAUCCCGAACUCUUGCAUUAGCCUCGUAAACCAUGCUGCUCACCGCGUCCCCUCGCUGGUGGAUUGGUAACUCCUGUUGCAAAAUCCUGUUAGCCACUAGACCAACUAAUCUCACAAAACUAUAUAAAUUAUAUAAUUGAUCUCAAACGUAGAAUCGAAAUUAGUUAGCCAAGAAAUGUAGAUCAUAUCAUUAACUAAGCUAACAAAAAGUUAAAGUGGUUAAAAUUCUACAUCAGCUAACAAAAGUGGGUAAAUUCUACAUCAGCUAAUAAAUGUAAAUGUCACUAACAUAUUCUUAAUUCUUAAAAUGCAAUUUAAAAUCCUUAAAUUAGUUUAUAAUACUAAUAUAAAUAGAUCGGACCAUGUGGUAGUUUUCAAAUAAAAAGUUAUGGAAGUGAUAGUAAUGUCUCAUCUAACAUAAGAAACAAGAAAAUUCUUCUAAUUAACCUAACCCAAAAUAUGAUUAAGCACAUUUUAAUUAUUCUUAAGAAAGAAGAAAACCUGAAGCAUCUUGUUGACGUUGCUAGCACCGAACACUCUAUGAACAUUAGCGAAUUUCUGAGGCUCAUCCGCCGGAAAAUACGGCGAGAAAACACAAUCUUGAGCGCACCGCCGCCGCAAAAGCUUACACGCAGCACACGGUGACGCAGCUCCUUGCUUCCGGCUACUUUCUUUCAUCUCUCGCCGCCACGUGUCGUUAUGUGAAUUAUCUAUGGAGACUGGAUCUCAACCGUUGGAUUGAAACUCACUCGUCAGUUGUCGAGAAAGCUGUGGAAGGUCUCUAGGUGAAGUGUGAUGGAUCUGUGGGGAUUUAUAGAGUGAGAAAAAGAAAUGAAUUAAAUUAAAUUAAAAUUGAAAAAUUCCAAAGAUUUAAGACAAAAGUAAUAAAAAAAAGUCAGCACAUCUGAGAGUGGGACCCAGAGAUUUGGAAAACACUUUACUAGAGCAAAAAUUAACAUCACGUGACACGACCAUUUAGGUCUUUUUUUGGCGCCAAAUGCUAUUUGUGUUUGUCUUUUCCCCCUUAUCUAUUCUCAUUGGUCUGAAUAUCCUUUUUUUAACUUUUGACUGUUUUUCUUAAUUUCUUUUGUCUUUAAUUUUGUCAUAGUCUCAUAAAGUAUCGUAGAAUAACCGGUACAAGUUGUAAUUAAUAUUUUGGUUUGAAAGUUUCAACUGUAUUAAACUAGUUAGGUUUUGUUAUAAUGAGAAUUUGUUUUUACUAACGUCGUGAAGAAUAAAAGGAAAUUGCAAAUGAUAAAUUAAAUAAGAAAGAUUGAUCAAUUUUCUUCAUGGCAAUUGGUUUUGAAUACCCACUUAAACUUUAUUAUUGGAGUUCCAUACAAAAUAACUUUUUUUUUUUUGUAGAGUGAGCUAUAGGAGGUUUUUCUCUUUGGAAUGUUACAUCUUUAUAUAAAUGUGUAUAUAAUAUUGUGUAUAGGAUAAGGAAAUUUAUGGCCUCGUGCUUGUGCAUGUAAUCAUUGUUUCUAUUUCUUUUGUGUAUAGAGAUUCUCACAACUUUCUACGUGGUCCCUCAAUUUGCAUAGGAGGGGAAUAUUAAAAAAAUGAAAAUUAACCUUUUUAUCACGGUAGGGUUAACAAUCUUUAUAUUACAGACAACAAUCUUUAAUUUUAUUUGUUGUUUUCAUUUAUUUUAAUUAUUUUUAAUUUUAAGAAUUUUUUUAAAAAACCCAUAAAAAACACGAUUGGAGGUGUUCUAAAGAAUUGUAUAUUAGAAAUUUGGAAGUAUCUAUCAACAAAAAUUGAAGUUUGAUCACAACCUUUGGUAAAGUAACAACAAUGGACAAUACACGCAUGUAUACAUGACAUGACACACAUGAGUAUUCUUGAGAAAAUGUAGGUAAUACUUUUUUUUUUGUCGUCUAGAGUUUUAUAUUAUUCAUCGUAAAAGCAUACAAAGCCGAAGAACAGAAGUUCCGGGAGUCAAAAGCCAGUGGAAAACAAGUAUUCCCCGAAGACAAAGUCUUAUGAAAGGGAGACAGUGAAAGUAGUACAACUUAACCCAGAAAAGCUAUAGCCAAAAUAUGAAACUAAGCCUUUAAACAAUCUUAACUUACUUGAAAGAAACUCAAGGAUCAAACUAACAAGGAACUAAUAGAAAGAGGAAAUCUAGCACAAAAUUCUAAAAGAAAAUAAGAUAUUAAGAGGGAAAGAACCGAAUCUCUCACUUAACCCUCGUCCCAAGAACCUUUACACUUAACCCGCGACCUGGCAAAACCAUGAGUGCAAUCCAAUCAACCUGAAACUUCUGCAAGAGCCUCAACCACGAGAUCCCAAAGCUUGAAGAAAAAGUAAACACUUCGACGAGCCGCUUUUAAAACCCAAAACCAAAUUACGCAGAGGAGAGAACCAUGUAGAAUCUGCGAAAUUACCUAACCGGGAAACACCAACCACUUCGAGGAGGACAUCCACUAGAAGAACGACUCCCUGAAAUUUUGCCUCAAAGAAAACAAUCGAACAAGUUCUGGAGUGCUUACACGAGCAAGAGAAGAGAAGAGCAGCCGAAGAUGGGAUGCCUAUGAUGUGUUGGGUUUCAUGGGAUGCUCUCUCAAGACCGAAAGGAGCUGGCGGUUUGGGCUUUAGGGAAAUAGAAAACUUCAAUGAUGCUCUACUGGGGAAACUUAGCUGGAGAAUUCUAAAGAACCCUCAAUCCUUCUUGGACAGGUCUUACUUGGGAAAUAUUGCCAUAACAAAUCCUUUAUGAACUGCUCAUUACCAUCAAACCCUUCUCAUGGUUGGCGUGAAAUUAUGGCGGGACGAGAAGUCUUAAGGAAAGGACUGGGCUGGCUAGUUGGUAAUGGGGAAAGUAUUAAGGUCUGGGAGGAUGCUUGGCUGUCCACUUCUACUCCCAUAUCGGCUUGUGGUCCACCGUCACUUACAGCAGAGCAGUUGAGGGUCAAAGAUCUCCUCCGUGAAGACAACUCCUGGGACGUGAAUAUGAUCCGCUCUCACUUACCUCUCCUAAAAACUAACAUCCGCAGCCUUCGACCUAGCUGCUGCAAAACAGAGGACAUCCUUGCCUGGCUGCCAAACAAACCAGGGAUCUACUCAUCUAAAUCAGGCUACAAUCUCAUAAAAAACAACAAGGCUGAUCCCCACCUCUCAGAGAUCAACUGGUCAAAAAAUGUCUGGCAAACAAAAAUCUCACCUAAGCUCAAGCACUUUCUCUGGAAAGUGGCUUCUGGUGCUCUCCCUGCAGGCGAACAACUGGCUUCUAGGGGCCUGCAACUUGACACAGCAUGUAAGCGGUGUGGAGAGAAGGAAUCAAUUCUGCACUUACUAAUCCACUGUCCGUUUGCAUCAACAGUCUAGAAUAUGGCUCAUCUCUCUAGAUAACCUAACUACCAGAUCCUAGUGAACCCAAAAGCCCUAAUUCUAGGGCAUCAAAAAUGCAUCAACCUCCCUCCAACAGGCCUCUCCCAUGUGGCUCUCUUCCCCUGGAUUCUUUGAUCAUUUGGUCAGCAGGAAAUCAACUCCUCUUUACAGACAAGGCUUUUUCAUAACAUGACACUAUCCAGAAGGCGAUAAGAGAUGCUAUUGAAUGGCACCAGUCCCAGCUAGGAAAAGAGACAAAGACCUCUACAACAACUCCAGUUGUUAGAGCCAAUCCUCUCCCAUGUUCCUCGGCCUUGAUUGUAGAGACCGAUGCCUCAUGGUUAGAAGCAUCUCAGGGUUGUGGCUUAGGCUGGGUGGGGGGAGAUAAGCAGAGUACAAUCUGCUUCAAAAACUCUACAACGGAACAGUAUGUAGCUUCUGUCCUUCAAGAUGAAGCUUUAGCAAUCAAAGCGGGACUCCAGACGGCCAUAGCCAUGGGUUUCACCACAGUCGAUAUCAAAUCGGACUCUAAGUCUCUUAUUGAGCUGCUUCGAUCGAAUAAGGUUACUAAUGAGCUAGUUGGUCUUCUACAUGACAUUAGGAAUCUAGCAUCUACUCUAGCAUCUGUAUUCUUUCAGUUUAUUCAUCGUACGGCCAAUGUUAUAGCCGACGAGAUGGCAAAACGUGCUUUAAGCACCCUUGUUUCCUCCUCGAACGGAGCCUUUCCCUCUUAAUUUUAAUGAAAUUCGCAGUUGACAAAAAAAAAACCCAGAAAAGCUAUAGCCAAAAUAUGAAACUAAGCCUUUAAACAAUCAACUUACUUGAAAGAAACUCAAAGAUCAAACUAACAAAGAAUUAAUAGAAAGAGGAAAUCUAGCACAAAUUUCUAAAAGAAAAUAAGAUACGAAGAGGGGAAGAACCGAAUCUCUCACUUAACCCUCGUCCCAAGAACCUUUACACUUAACCCGCGACCUGGCGAAACCAUGAGUGCAAUCCAAUCAACCAAAAACUUUUGCAAGAGCCUCAACCACGAGAUCCCAAAGCUUGAAGGAAAAGUAAACACUUCGACGAGCCGCUUCUAAAACCCAAAACCAAAUUACGCAGAGGAGAGAACCAUGUAAAAUCUGCGAAAUUACCUAACCGGGAAACACCAACCACUUUGAGGAGGACAUCCACUAGAAAAACGACUCCCUGAAAUUUUGCCUCAAAGAAAACAAUCGAACAAGCUCUGGAUUGCUUCCACGAGCAAGAGAAGAGAAGCGCAGCCGAAGAAUCACAAUCCACACCACAAACGAAAGCAAGCUUAAGAUGGAGAAAAAGCAGCCCUAAAACUAAGGCCAAAGAAAGCCUAACCGGAUAUGAUACGUAUAACAUAGAGUUCAAAUUUGAAUGGGCCUAUAAAGAUUAUAUCCCAAUACAAAGCCCAAUUGACAACAAAGAGAGAUGCUGAAGGAUAAUCUUCACCACACGUGGGAAGCUGAGAACAUGAUAAGAACGUGCCACGUGUUGCAGUAAAGCAACAUGUCAUCGACCACCAACCUCCGUCACCUGAUACACCAAUUCCAUUGAAAAAAUCAUCGCCGGAAAACAAUAUCCGGCUAACGAUUCUUUAGUUUUUCACCAACUUUUGUAGAUACGGCUAAAGAGACAUAUAAAACAGAUAAAAAAACUCAAUCGGUUGCUAAAUCCAUUAAUAAUCAUUUGGGAUUCAGCGAACAAAGUCCAACAGAGAAUGAUAAGAUUUGAAAUUCUACCACCGUAUGCUAAUCAAAUUGAAACUUAGAUAAUCAAGUAAGAACGGCUGAGAGUCAAUCUAAAAUUAGCAAAGGAACAGAUCUUCAUACCAUAAAAUCUUAGUCGCAAAACUGUGAAGCUAUCUUAAAAACGGUUAGAAAAACAAACAUCAGAUCCAAAAGAAACAUGCCGGAGAGAAUCGCACUUAGGCAAAGAAGAUCUGCCUAAAACCACGACACCGACAUAGAUCGCACAAUUUAUUCAAGGGAAAGACAAGAAGCGGCAAUGGAUAGCCAAAACAUGAACUGGACCACGCCGGAAACAAAACCGGACCACGCCGAAAACAAAGCCGGAUCUCAUCCAGACAAGGAACACCGGUAACCAAACCGGAAGGUGAAACAAGGAUUGAGUUCUCUCUCUCAAGAGUCCUAGAGAGAGAAGAGAGAGAAACUCGUUCAUCUUUGUACUUGAUAUGUAGGUAAUACUUAUAUUGAUGUUUUUAAAAAGAGUGAAGAUACACAUUUACUGAUUUUUAGAACAUAAUUAAAAACAGUAUUUUUCCAUAUAAACUAAAAAAUAAAUUGAAACAUGUAUAAGGUUUUAUAUUUGAUCAUAAAAAUUUGUUAUUUUUAUUGCAACAUUUUGUGUAUGUUUUAUAGACAUCCAAAUCAUCAAGCAGAUAUGCCAUAUAUCGUUGUGACGUUUUACAUAAUAAUUAAGUAAUUUAUUGUUAUAGACUUAUAUAUAGAGUGUAAAUGGUAACAUGAAAAAAAUAUUCAGCCAGAUUCAGCCACAUUCAGCAAUUCCGCAGUUACCAUUUGCAUAAAACUAAAUUCAGCCAGAUUCAACAGUUUUUUCAACAUCAACAGAUACAUAGUAUGUUCAUUUCAGAUAAAAAUUUGGAUUAUAGCGAUUCACAACUCGAAUUAAAAUAUUUUUGGCUAUUAAAAAUUACACAUCAAAUUUAUAUUUUAAAAUAAGUUAGAUAAUACAAAUACGAUAUAUGAAUAAUUCAUACACAUAAAAACAUUACCAGAAUAGACAAGAGACAUAUUUAUGUUCAGAUAUCUAUAGAUAAUUUUAGAUAAUUUUAAUAAAUUUUAGAUACUUAAAUAUAAUUUUCCAAAUUUUUGCAAAAAUAACUCAUACUUAUGCUAAAAUAAUAUUUAAAAUAUCAAAUUAAAAAAUUUUUUAAUCAUCCUAAUCAUAUUAAGGAUUUAAACUACUAGAGAACAAUGAAAAAUCAAUAAGAUAAUCUAUACUAUAUUAUCAUGUUUAUUUUUAAAUUAAUUUUUCAAUAAAACUUUGACAAAACUUUCUAUUAAUUAAUUAUAUCUUUUUAAUAGUUCAAAAAUUAGAUUUGAAAGAACAACUCAAUUUUGCUAAAAAGAUAUUAAUUCUAGUAUUUAUUUAUUGGUAUAAGAGUUAAUUAGACAAUUAGAUAAUUUUAUCUAUUUUAUUUAGAUAUUUUUCCUUAGUUAUUCUAUUAAUAUUCAUAAUUAUUUGACGAUAUUUCAGUUAAAGUCUUAAUUAUUUCGACAGAUUCUGCUGAAAAGCACAAAAAAAAUUCAGUUAGAUUCAGCUGUUACCAUUUGAAAAUGUAAAAAUUCAGCCAGAUUAAGCUAAAAAUCACUAAAAAUUCAGCCAGAUUCAGCAAUUCAGCCGGAUUCAGCCAGAUUCCUCGGUUACCAUUUAGACCCAUAAGUCCAUCUAUACGAAUAUUAAGUAAAAUAUUUUAAAAUCCCACUAUCAAUAAAAUCAUAUGUGCUCAUUCAUUCUUCAUUUGUAAGAACAAUUUUUGUUUCUAAAUCAUUUAUCUGAAUAAAAUCUCUGUAUAGUCAUUUCAUAUGUACCCAUAUCUAGAUUUUUUUUUAACUUACAUAUUAUAAAGGUUUUCAUUACAUUUUUAAAGCAGAUUUUGUAAAAUUAAUCUUAUUUACUGUUGUCAUACAAGGUCACAAAAUAUAAAGAGAAAAAAAAAACUUUAAAUUCCUAAUUGGAUAUCCAAUCAUGAAAUUAUUUUUUAAUGACCGUAUGGUUGACAAAAAAAAAAAAAAAAAAAAAACCUGAAAAUAAACACAAAAAAAUAUAGGGGCAAUAAUAAUAUGUCUCAUCUUGCACUAGUCAAAAAAUAAAGUUGAAAGAAACAAUACAGUGCACGCUAUUUCUUUCGUAGAAAAAGACAAAAAAAAAAAGAUUAAAAGAAAACGCCCACAGCUUUCGAAAUCAAAAAAUAUAGCCUGAAAAUGACGAAUGUAGAAUUGUGGAGAAUAUUUUAUACUAACAUUUUUGAAGAAAACACCCACACCUUUAGUGUUAAUUUUUUCGAGAUGUAGAACUAACUUUACUUUUGUACAAAAACUCAAAUAUAUGUAUAUUUGGGAUUAUCAUUUUCUUGGUAUUUAAUAGAGCUGUAUGUUGGUCGUAAUUUGCUUUCGAACACCAUUGAGCUUAUUGUGAAGUAUGAACUUUAAGACUCCAAAAUUUCAUGUCAACAAAAAAGAAAAGAAAACUCCAAAAUGAUUUUGGAAGAAUUUAGAAAGAUAAUAUUCUUUUAUUAGAAGGAAAAAGAGAACUCCACACUCGACAGUUUCCACUAGUGAUAAGAUUUGUAUUUAUGUAAUGGUGGAGUGUCUUUCCGACAAACUUCAACAGUCGACUCUUUCAAUAACCACUUAUAGCUUUUGCCGUUUUCCAUCAUUCUUAUUGGUUAUCGACAAAUUAAAGUUCACUAAUUAAUUAAAUUAGUGUUUGUAUAAUGAAAAAUAAAUUAAAAUAAAUUUACUCCAUACUUUAUGAUCACAGACGUAAUAACAGUGACCGGACCAAAAAGCUUGAUUUAUGUAUUUUACUAUUUCGUUAAAUCAAAAUAAUAAAAUGAAAUGUUAAAAAAAAAUGAAAUGUUUUGGACCGAAUGUGUCGGUUUCAAUAGAUCUCUUCCUCUCCAUUUGAUUUGUCUGUAAUUGGAAUUUUUUUUUGGUAGCUACUCGUUUUCUUUGAAACUGUUAUUAUAUAAUGAUAUACUAUUAAGUAUUAACAUACAGAAUAUAGAUGGACAAUUUAAUAAGCAAUAUACGUGACUUUCUAAGAUU